rnacentral:rRNA from 1 species
GACGAACGCUGGCGGCGUGCUUAACACAUGCAAGUCGAACGGAAAGGCCCUGCUUUUGUGGGGUGCUCGAGUGGCGAACGGGUGAGUAACACGUGAGUAACCUGCCCUUGACUUUGGGAUAACUCCAGGAAACUGGGGCUAAUACCGGAUAGGAGCUCCUGCUGCAUGGUGGGGGUUGGAAAGUUUCGGCGGUUGGGGAUGGGCUCGCGGCUUAUCAGCUUGUUGGUGGGGUAGUGGCUUACCAAGGCUUUGACGGGUAGCCGGCCUGAGAGGGUGACCGGCCACAUUGGGACUGAGAUACGGCCCAGACUCCUACGGGAGGCAGCAGUGGGGAAUAUUGCACAAUGGGCGGAAGCCUGAUGCAGCAACGCCGCGUGCGGGAUGACGGCCUUCGGGUUGUAAACCGCUUUCGCCUGUGACGAAGCGUGAGUGACGGUAAUGGGUAAAGAAGCACCGGCUAACUACGUG